CCUACGGGAGGCAGCAGUGGGGAAUCUUGCGCAAUGGGCGAAAGCCUGACGCAGCCACGCCGCGUGCGGGAUGAAGGCCCUAGGGUUGUAAACCGCUUUUAACAGGAACGAAAAUGACGGUACCUGUAGAAUAAGGUGCGGCCAACUACGUGCCAGCAGCCGCGGUGACACGUAGGCACCAAGCGUUGUCCGGAUUUAUUGGGCGUAAAGAGCUCGUAGGCGGUUCAGUAAGUCGGGUGUGAAAACUCUGGGCUUAACCCAGAGACGCCACUCGAUACUAUUGUGACUAGAGUUCGGUAGGGGAGCGGGGAAUUCCUAGUGUAGCGGUGAAAUGCGCAGAUAUUAGGAGGAACACCGAUGGCGAAGGCGCCGCUCUGGGCCGAUACUGACGCUGAGGAGCGAAAGCGUGGGUAGCAAACAGGAUUAGAUACCCUGGUAGUCCACGCCGUAAACGGUGGGCACUAGGUGUGGGUUCCAACCACGGAACGCGCGCCGUCGCUACGACAUAGUCGCCCGCCGUGGGAGGUACGGCCGCGAACGUUAAACGUACGAAGAAGUAGACGGCGUGAGACGNGCGACGACGACGACGAGGGAGUUAGG
rnacentral:rRNA from 1 species